UACAGAGGUCCCGAGCGUUGUUCGGAUUCAUUGGGCGUAAAGGGUGCGUAGGCGGCGCGGUAAGUCGGGUGUGAAAUCUCGGAGCUUAACUCCGAAACUGCAUUCGAUACUGCCGUGCUUGAGGACUUGAGAGGAGACUGGAAUUCAUGGAUGUAGCAGUGAAAUGCGUAGAUAUCGAGAGGAACACCUGCGGCGAAGGCGGGUCGCUGGGCCGACACUGACGCUGAUGCGCGAAAGCCAGGGGAGCGAACGGG
rnacentral:rRNA from 1 species